rnacentral:rRNA from 1 species
GCAGUCGUACGCUUCUUUUUCCACCGGAGCUUGCUCCACCGGAAAAAGAAGAGUGGCGAACGGGUGAGUAACACGUGGGUAACCUGCCCAUCAGAAGGGGAUAACACUUGGAAACAGGUGCUAAUACCGUAUAACAAUCGAAACCGCAUGGUUUUGAUUUGAAAGGCGCUUUCGGGUGUCGCUGAUGGAUGGACCCGCGGUGCAUUAGCUAGUUGGUGAGGUAACGGCUCACCAAGGCCACGAUGCAUAGCCGACCUGAGAGGGUGAUCGGCCACAUUGGGACUGAGACACGGCCCAAACUCCUACGGGAGGCAGCAGUAGGGAAUCUUCGGCAAUGGACGAAAGUCUGACCGAGCAACGCCGCGUGAGUGAAGAAGGUUUUCGGAUCGUAAAACUCUGUUGUUAGAGAAGAACAAGGAUGAGAGUAACUGUUCAUCCCUUGACGGUAUCUAACCAGAAAGCCACGGCUAACUACGUGCCAGCAGCCGCGGUAAUACGUAGGUGGCAAGCGUUGUCCGGAUUUAUUGGGCGUAAAGCGAGCGCAGGCGGUUUCUUAAGUCUGAUGUGAAAGCCCCCGGCUCAACCGGGGAGGGUCAUUGGAAACUGGGAGACUUGAGUGCAGAAGAGGAGAGUGGAAUUCCAUGUGUAGCGGUGAAAUGCGUAGAUAUAUGGAGGAACACCAGUGGCGAAGGCGGCUCUCUGGUCUGUAACUGACGCUGAGGCUCGAAAGCGUGGGGAGCAAACAGGAUUAGAUACCCUGGUAGUCCACGCCGUAAACGAUGAGUGCUAAGUGUUGGAGGGUUUCCGCCCUUCAGUGCUGCAGCUAACGCAUUAAGCACUCCGCCUGGGGAGUACGACCGCAAGGUUGAAACUCAAAGGAAUUGACGGGGGCCCGCACAAGCGG